rnacentral:rRNA from 1 species
ACAGGAGCCGAAGCGAAAGCGAGUCUGAAAUGGGCGAUUAGUCAGUGGCUGUAGACGCGAAACUUGGUGAUCUACCCUUGGUCAGGUUGAAGCGCUGGUAACACAUCGUGGAGGACCGAACCGGUAAACGUUGAAAAGUUUUCGGAUGAACUGAGGGUAGGGGUGAAAGGCCAAUCAAACUGAGAAAUAGCUCGUACUCCCCGAAAUGUUUUUAGGAACAGCGUCGUGGUUGAGUCAUGGUCAGGUAGAGCUACUGAUAGGACUAGGGGGAGUCAAAUCCUACCAAAUUCUGACAAACUCCGAAUGGGCUAUGAUAUACACGGCAGUGAGGGCUGGGGUGCUAAGGUCCCAGUCCGAGAGGGGAACAACCCAGAGCAUCAGCUAAGGUCCCAAAAUAUAUGCUAAGUUGAACUAAGGGGGUCCGACUGCAGAGACAGCCAGGAUGUUAGCUUGGAAGCAGCUAUACAUUUAAAGAGUGCGUAACAGCUCACUGGUCGAGCGGGGCGGGCAUCGAUAAUAAACGGGCAUCAAGCAUAUUACCGAAGCUAUGCGAUAGUAAUUUAUUACGAUCGGUAGGGGAGCAUUCUCACAGGGGUGAAGGUUUGGCGUAAGCUGGGCUGGACUGGUGAGAAAAGCAAAUGUAGGCAUAAGUAACGAUAAUGCGGAUGAGAAAUCCGCACACCGAAAGACUAAGGAUUCCUCCGCUAUGCUAAUCAACGGAGGGUUAGGCGGGGCCUAAGGGAUAGCCGACAGGCGACUCUCGAUGGACAGCAGGUUAAUAUUCCUGCCCUUGCAUGCAGUGUGAAAAAGUGACGGAGUAUUGUGGUAAGUACGUACUGACGGAAUAGUGCGUUGAGCAGAACCUACGGGUGAAGCGAACUUACGAAAACGCUUCCAAGAAAAGCUUUUGAAACGCCAGCUGUACGCAACCCGUACCGUAAACCGACACAGGUAGUCGAGAAGAAUAUUCUAAGGUGCUCGAGUGAAUCACGGCUAAGGAACUCGGCAAAUUAACCCUGUAACUUCGGGAGAAGGGGAGCCUCCUCAGUGAUGAGAGGCCGCAGAGAAAUGGCCCAGGCGACUGUUUAGCAAAAACACAGGGCUCUGCCAAAACGAAAGUUGACGUAUAGGGCCUGACACCUGCCCGGUGCUGGAAGGUUAAGAGGGGAUGUCAUCGCAAGAGAAGCAUUGAAUCGAAGCCCCAGUAAACGGCGGCCGUAACUAUAACGGUCCUAAGGUAGCGAAAUUCCUUGUCGGGUAAGUUCCGACCUGCACGAAUGGUGUAACGAUCUGGGCACUGUCUCGGCCGUGAGCUCGGUGAAAUUGUAGUAGCGGUGAAGAUGCCGCUUACCCGCCACGGGACGGAAAGACCCCGUGCACCUUUACUAUAGCUUUGCAUUGUUUUCGGGUCAGGGAUGUGUAGGAUAGGUGGGAGGCUGUGAAGUUGCGUCGCCAGGCGUGAUGGAGCCAACGUUGAAAUACCACCCUUCGCUGGCCUGGGAUCUAAUCCGACAAAGUCGGAGACCGUGCAUGGUGGGUAGUUUGACUGGGGUGGUCGCCUCCAAAAGUGUAACGGAGGCUUCCAAAGGUCUGCUCAACACGCUUGGUAACCGUGUGUGGAGUGCAAUAGUACAAGCAGGCUUGACUGUGAGACCGACGGGUCGAGCAGGUGGGAAACCAGGGUAUAGUGAUCCGGUGGUUCUGUAUGGAAGGGCCAUCGCUCAAAGGAUAAAAGGUACGCCGGGGAUAACAGGCUGAUCUCCCCCAAGAGCUCACAUCGACGGGGAGGUUUGGCACCUCGAUGUCGGCUCGUCACAUCCUGGGGCUGGAGAAGGUCCCAAGGGUUCGGCUGUUCGCCGAUUAAAGUGGCACGCGAGCUGGGUUCAGAACGUCGUGAGACAGUUCGGUCCCUAUCUGUGGUGGGCGUAGGAAGAUUGACGGGGGCUGCCUUUAGUACGAGAGGACCGAGGUGGACCCACCGCUGGUGAACCGGUUGUCACGCCAGUGGCAUGGCCGGGUAGCUAUGUGGGGAAUAGAUAAGCGCUGAAAGCAUCUAAGUGCGAAACUAGCCCGAAGAUGAAUCUUCCACAUAAGGGUCGUUGUAGACUACGACGUUGAUAGGCUGCAGGUGUACGUGUAGAAAUACAUUCAGCUGAGCAGUACUAAUUACCCAA